rnacentral:rRNA from 1 species
GACUGCGUACCUUUUGUAUAAUGGGUCAGCGACUUAUAUUUAGUAGCAAGGUUAAGUGAAUAACGGAGCCGUAGCGAAAGCGAGUGUUAACUGCGCGUUUAGUUGCUAGGUAUAGACCCGAAACCCGGUGAUCUAGCCAUGGGCAGGUUGAAGGUUGAGUAACAUCAACUGGAGGACCGAACCCACUAACGUUGAAAAGUUAGGGGAUGACUUGUGGCUGGGGGUGAAAGGCCAAUCAAACCGGGAGAUAGCUGGUUCUCCCCGAAAGCUAUUUAGGUAGCGCCUCGGACGAAUACCACAGGGGGUAGAGCACUGUUUCGGCUAGGGGGUCAUCCCGACUUACCAACCCCAUGCAAACUCCGAAUACCGUAGAGUACUAUCCGGGAGACACACGGCGGGGGCUAACGUCCGUCGUGAAAAGGGAAACAACCCUGACCUCCAGCUAAGGCCCCUAAUUCAUGGCUAAGUGGGAAAGCAGGUGGGAUGUCCAAAACAACCAGGAAGUUGGCUUAGAAGCA